rnacentral:rRNA from 1 species
GCAGCCGCGGUAAUACGUAUGGUGCAAGCGUUAUCCGGAUUUACUGGGUGUAAAGGGAGCGUAGACGGCUCAGUAAGUCUGAUGUGAAAACCCGGGGCUCAACCCCGGGACUGCAUUGGAAACUAUUGAGCUAGAGUGUCGGAGAGGUAAGCGGAAUUCCUAGUGUAGCGGUGAAAUGCGUAGAUAUUAGGAGGAACACCAGUGGCGAAGGCGGCUUACUGGACGAUAACUGACGUUGAGGCUCGAAAGCGUGGGGAGCAAACAGGAUUAGAUACCCC